rnacentral:lncRNA from 1 species
CACAUAGGCUGCUAAACACCAGCUGCUCCUAGUGACUCAGAUCUGUGACCUUUGAUCAAUUUAUCUUGUCCUGAUUAACCAAUUUCUAUACUGGAGGGAGGAUGUACUUACAUUUCUUUGUAAGUAUAAAUAUUGAGCAAACAUCUUCUGCAUUUCUGUGCAGUACAAACCUGUGUCUUCAGUGUGUCUUGUAACAACUUCUGUAAAUGAGGCUAGUUUGUUAUAACUGCAAACUAACCUUCUUCCUUUCCAUUUCCCAAAUUCUAUCAAGGACAACAUUAGCAAAGUUUUAUUCUGAAACUAAGAUACUGAUAGGUUGGAAUUGAAGCUGUGUAACUGAACUGGGCUAUUUUUCUUUCUAUUUUUUGAGCACCCAUUUUCUUCUAAUUUUGUUUAAAUGCAUUGAUUUUUUCUUUGGAUUGAUCAAGGAAGGAAAAUAUAAAAAUUAAGCAGUUAUGCUGUGGUGAAUUUAACCUGCUUCUUUUUAGAAAACCUGCAGAUGUAUCUAAUGAACAUGGAGAUCCCUGUGCAAUUACAUUACCAAUUUCCUUCAGAAGCCAUGGAUCAUGACCAAGAAAUACGUCUAUGGAGCAUAAUACAUAAGAGACAGGUAGACAAUGAUUGCUACAUAUAUGUGCAUCUGCUGGGUGAUUGAGCCUGUGCAAUCGUCUGUGUUUCUGCAUAGCUCUUCAGCGGAGAGGCCUUUGAGAAACCUUCCUCCCAGCAUGCUGCUCAUUAACCAGAGGCUCUCCCCAGGGAUCAGGAGAACAAUCGGCAGCCUGAAUGCUUUCCUGGGAUCAGAAAAUAUGCUUGCAUUGUUGGGGAAGAAAGAAGAAUAUAGACAAAGGUAUUCAAUAAGUUAG